rnacentral:rRNA from 1 species
UACAGAGGGGGCAAGCGUUGUUCGGAAUUACUGGGCGUAAAGGGCGCGUAGGCGGCCUGUUAAGUCGAACGUGAAAUCCCCGGGCUCAACCCGGGAACUGCGUCCGAUACUGGCAGGCUUGAAUUCGGGAGAGGGAUGCGGAAUUCCAGGUGUAGCGGUGAAAUGCGCAGAUAUCAGGAGGAACACCGAUUGCGAAGGCAGCUCGCUGGGACGUUACUGACGCUGAGACGCGAAAGCGUGGGGAGCAAACAGG